rnacentral:rRNA from 1 species
GCUCUGUGGGAUCAGUGGCGAACGGGUGAGUAACACGUGAGCAACCUACCCCUGACUCUGGGAUAAGCGCUGGAAACGGCGUCUAAUACUGGAUACGAGUGGCGACCGCAUGGUCAGCUACUGGAAAGAUUUAUUGGUUGGGGAUGGGCUCGCGGCCUAUCAGCUUGUUGGUGAGGUAAUGGCUCACCAAGGCGUCGACGGGUAGCCGGCCUGAGAGGGUGACCGGCCACACUGGGACUGAGACACGGCCCAGACUCCUACGGGAGGCAGCAGUGGGGAAUAUUGCACAAUGGGCGCAAGCCUGAUGCAGCAACGCCGCGUGAGGGAUGACGGCCUUCGGGUUGUAAACCUCUUUUAGCAGGGAAGAAGCGAAAGUGACGGUACCUGCAGAAAAAGCGCCGGCUAACUACGUGCCAGCAGCCGCGGUAAUACGUAGGGCGCAAGCGUUAUCCGGAAUUAUUGGGCGUAAAGAGCUCGUAGGCGGUUUGUCGCGUCUGCUGUGAAAUCCGGAGGCUCAACCUCCGGCCUGCAGUGGGUACGGGCAGACUAGAGUGCGGUAGGGGAGAUUGGAAUUCCUGGUGUAGCGGUGGAAUGCGCAGAUAUCAGGAGGAACACCGAUGGCGAAGGCAGAUCUCUGGGCCGUAACUGACGCUGAGGAGCGAAAGGGUGGGGAGCAAACAGGCUUAGAUACCCUGGUAGUCCACCCCGUAAACGUUGGGAACUAGUUGUGGGGUCCAUUCCACGGAUUCCGUGACGCAGCUAACGCAUUAAGUUCCCCGCCUGGGGAGUACGGCCGCAAGGCUAAAACUCAAAGGAAUUGACGGGGACCCGCACAAGCGGCGGAGCAUGCGGAUUAAUUCGAUGCAACGCGAAGAACCUUACCAAGGCUUGACAUAUACGAGAACGGGCCAGAAAUGGUCAACUCUUUGGACACUCGUAAACAGGUGGUGCAUGGUUGUCGUCAGCUCGUGUCGUGAGAUGUUGGGUUAAGUCCCGCAACGAGCGCAACCCUCGUUCUAUGUUGCCAGCACGUAAUGGUGGGAACUCAUG